rnacentral:SRP_RNA from 1 species
UUUCGGUCCUCGCGUACUUGAUAAAGGUUUAAUUGGUCAGGAUCGGAAGGUAGCAGCCAGGAUCUUCUAUUGAGGUACCGCGAUGUGGUUGAUCUCC